GAUGAACGCUAGCGACAGGCUUAACACAUGCAAGUCGAGGGGCAGCGAGGGCGUAGCAAUACGCCUGUCGGCGACCGGCGCACUGGUGAGUAACACGUAUGCGACCUGCCCCCUACAGGGGUAUAACCCGUAGAAAUGCGGACUAAUCCCCCAUAGUCCUGAGUGCUGCAUGGCAUUCAGGGGAAAGGUCAGCCGGUAGGGGAUGGGCAUGCGGCGCAUUAGCUAGUUGGCGGGGUAACGGCCCACCUAGCCAACGAUGGAUAGGGGUUCUGAGAGGAAGGUCCCCCACAUUGGAACUGAGACACGGUCCAA
rnacentral:rRNA from 1 species